rnacentral:rRNA from 1 species
UACGAAGGGUGCUAGCGUUGUUCGGAAUUACUGGGCGUAAAGCGCGCGUAGGCGGUCUAUCAAGUCAGAGGUGAAAGCCCUGGGCUCAACCCAGGAAUUGCCUUUGAAACUGAUAGACUUGAGUACUGGAGGGGAUAGCGGAAUUCCUAAUGUAGAGGUGAAAUUCGUAGAUAUUAGGAGGAACACCGGUGGCGAAGGCGGCUCUCUGGGACGGUACUGACGCUGAGACGCGAAAGCGUGGGGAGCGAACAGG